GACGAACGCUGGCGGCGUGCUUAACACAUGCAAGUCGAACGAAAAGAGGGAAAGAGCUUGCUCUUUCCGGAAUUGAGUGGCAAACGGGUGAGUAACACGUAAACAACCUGCCUUCAGGAUGGGGACAACAGACGGAAACGACUGCUAAUACCGAAUAAGUUCCAAGGGCCGCAUGGCCCAUGGAAGAAAAGGUGGCCUCUACCUGUAAGCUAUCGCCUGAAGAUGGGUUUGCGUCUGAUUAGCUGGUUGGAGGGGUAACGGCCCACCAAGGCGACGAUCAGUAGCCGGUCUGAGAGGAUGAACGGCCACACUGGAACUGAGACACGGUCCAGACUCCUACGGGAGGCAGCAGUGGGGAAUCUUCCGCAAUGGGCGAAAGCCUGACGGAGCAACGCCGCGUGAGUGAUGACGGCCUUCGGGUUGUAAAACUCUGUGAUCCGGGACGAAAAGGCAGAGUGCGAAGAACAAACUGCAUUGACGGUACCGGAAAAGCAAGCCACGGCUAACUACGUG
rnacentral:rRNA from 1 species